rnacentral:rRNA from 1 species
GAUGAACGCUGGCGGCCUGCCUAAUACAUGCAAGUCGAGCGAACGGACGAGAAGCUUGCUUCUCUGAUGUUAGCGGCGGACGGGUGAGUAACACGUGGAUAACCUACCUAUAAGACUGGGAUAACUUCGGGAAACCGGAGCUAAUACCGGAUGAUAUUUUGAACCGCAUGGUUCAAAAGUGAAAGACGGUCUUGCUGUCACUUAUAGAUGGAUCCGCGCUGCAUUAGCUAGUUGGUAAGGUAACGGCUUACCAAGGCAACGAUGCAUAGCCGACCUGAGAGGGUGAUCGGCCACACUGGAACUGAGACACGGUCCAGACUCCUACGGGAGGCAGCAGUAGGGAAUCUUCCGCAAUGGGCGAAAGCCUGACGGAGCAACGCCGCGUGAGUGAUGAAGGUCUUCGGAUCGUAAAACUCUGUUAUUAGGGAAGAACAUAUGUGUAAGUAACUGUGCACAUCUUGACGGUACCUAAUCAGAAAGCCACGGCUAACUACGUG